UGCAGUCGAGCGGACCAGAGGAGCUUGCUCCUUCUGGUUUARCGGCGGACGGGUGASUAACACGUGGGCAACCUGCCCUGCARAUCRGGAUAACUCCGGGAAACCGGUGCUAAUACCGAAWAKUUUGCGGCCUCUCCUGASGCUGCACGGAAARACGGUUUCGGCUGUCACUGCMSGAUGGGCCCGCGGCGCAUUAGCUAGUUGGWGGGGUAAUGGCCUACCAMGGCGACKAUGCSUAGCCSACCUGASAGGGUGAUCGGCCMCACUGGGACUGAKACACGGCCCASACUCCUACGGGAGGCASCWGUAGGGAAUCUUCCGCAAUGGACRAAAGUCUGACGGASCAACGCCGCGUGAGUGACKAASGUUUUCSGAUCGUAAAACUCUGUUGUGAGGGAAGAACAAGUACCAACUAACUACUGGUACCUUGACGGUACCUCACCAKAAAGCCACGGCUAACUACGUGCCASCARCCGCGGUAAUACGUAKGUGGCAAGCGUUGUCCGGAAUUAUUGGGCGUAAAGCGCGCGCARGCGGUUCUUUAAGUCUGAUGUGAAAGCCCACGGCUCAACCGUGGAGGGUCAUUGRAAACUGGAGAACUUGAGUGCAGAAGAGGAAAGUGGAAUUCCAUGUGUARCGGUGAAAUGCGUAGAGAUGUGGAGGAACACCAGUGGMGAAGGCGACUUUCUGGUCUGUAACUGACGYUGAGGCGCGAAAGCGUGGGGAGCAAMCAGGAUUAGAUACCYUGGUAGUCCACGCSGUAAACGAUGAGUGYUAAGUKUUAGGGGGUUUCCGCCCSUUAGUGCWGCAGMUAMCGCAUUMAGCACUCCGCCUGGGGAGUACGGCCGCAAGGCUGAAACUCAAAGGAAUUGACGGGGGCCCGCACAAGCGGUGGAGCAUGUGGUUUAAUUMGAAGCAACGCGAAGAACCUUACCAGGUCUUGACAUCCCACUGACCGGUGUAGAGAUACACUUUUCCCUUSGGGGACAGUGGUGMCAGGUGGUGCAUGGUKGUSGUCAGYUSGUGUCGUGAGAUGUUGGGUUAAGUCCCGCAACGAGCGCAACCCUUGAUYUUAGUUGCCAGCAUUCAGUUGGSCAYUYUAAGGUGACUGCCGGUGWCAAACCGGAGGAAGGUGGGGAUGACGUCAAAUCAUCAUGCCCCUUAUGRCCUGGGCUACACACGUGCUACAAUGGWCGGUACAAAGGGUUGCCAACCCGCGAGGGGGAGCCAAUCCCAUAAAACCG
rnacentral:rRNA from 1 species